rnacentral:rRNA from 1 species
ACAAAAUGACGCAAAAUGGUGACAAUGAGCUAAUCAUCAAAAAAGAUUAAUGUACGAAUUGUGGGCUGGAACUCGCCCACAUGAAGUAGGAAUUCCGAGUAAUCGCGUAUCAUUACGACGCGGUGAAUAUCAUCUCUUGGGUGUACUAACUGCUCGUCACGGGACGAAAGGGAGCAUAUUAUGAAGUAGG